rnacentral:sRNA from 2 species
GCUCGACGAAUUUAGAUGUAAUUCCAAUAUACAAAUUCACCAAAAGUGGACCGAAGUGUUUCUGCACCUUAUGCUUCCUGGAGACGAUUGCUGAUGUCCAUCUCCCUUUUCUCUCUGUAGUGUGGCCCGUCGUGCACAUUUUAUUGUAUGACAUGGCAGCAUGUGAAUAAGUAAAUGACGUAAAAUCCUAUAGGGCUGUAAAGGGGAAUGUAGAGUGCUUGAGUGGGGUGUAAUCCUGCAUAUAGCGCAGGUAGAUUAUGAAACACAUACGGGUAUAUUUAUAAGAACAUUAUGGCUGUUGAGAGAGGGAAAGGGGGGAUUUUCGGGAAACAUAACGUAGGAAGCGCGAAGGAAAGCAGUAAGGAAAACAGUAUAGAGCUUUCAUCUCAAGGUUAACAUUUGGGGUAUAACGGCAGCAACUGUUAACCAUAAUCGGCGUGGCUGCCAUAGGAAGGAAGUUUAUAUAGUAUAAUGAGCUCAUCAGAGCAGAACUAGAUGGAGGAGCUAUGCAAUUGGACCGCAGAAGUAGUCGAAUGACACAUGCAUCCACAUACAAAAGUGGCUCGAGCAUCUGCGCCGUACUGUAGGAGGCAAGGACUAUAGUAGAAACUGCGAAUGAACUGCAUUUUCGUUACGAACAGAGACAAAAGGGGCUCAUUCGGUAUGAAUUUAGGUUCAUUCCAAGGUUAGCUGAUUAAGAAGCCAACGAAUAGUGGCAGAGCGGAUUUAAGCAAGACUGACUUGAUAUCUGGGGCUCCAGCGGAUGGUAUUAGAGAGGAAAUAUAUAUAGCAAACAAGGAACAAAGUGAAGUUGAUCAAUAAGAGAAAUGAGGAGGUGUUUGAAGGAAACGUCAAGCU